GACGAACGCUGGCGGCGUGCUUAACACAUGCAAGUCGAACGGAAAGGCCCUGCUUUUGUGGGGUGCUCGUGUGGCGAACGGGUGAGUAACACGUGAGUAACCUGCCCUUGACUUUGGGAUAACUUCAGGAAACUGGGGCUAAUACCGGAUAGGAUCUCCUGCUGCAUGUUGGGGGUUGGAAAGUUUCGGCGGUUGGGGAUGGACUCGCGGCUUAUCAGCUUGUUUGUGGGGUAGUGGCUUACCAAGGCUUUGACGGGUAGCCGGCAUGAGAGGGUGACCGGCCACAUUGGGACUGAGAUACGGACCAGAAUCCUACGGGAGGCAGCAGUGGGAAAUAUUGCGCAAUGGGCGGAAGCCUGAUGCAGCAACGCCGCGUGCGGGAUGACGGCCUUCGGGUUGUAAACCGCUUUCGCCUGUGACGAAGCGUGAGUGACGGUAAUGGGUAAAGAAGCACCGGCUAACUACGUG
rnacentral:rRNA from 1 species